GACCGGUAAUUUCAGAGGGCUGAAUACUAGACCCCUGAGCUUGGAAAGCUUGACGCAACAAACCGCCUGGAGGAGCAGGAGCGCCAGGAUUACUUUUUGGGAAAAAAUCGGUUAUGUAGGCAGGACUAGAAGAUGGAAUGUUUAUUUCCUUAACCGCAUCUUGAAUAUCGCUACCGGUCAAAGUAGAUGCGUCAUCUAAUGGAGUAGUGACAACAAUAC